UACGUAGGGGGCAAGCGUUAUCCGGAAUUAUUGGGCGUAAAGAGGGAGCAGGCGGCAGCAAAGGUCUGUGGUGAAAGACUGAAGCUUAACUUCAGUAAGCCAUAGAAACCGGGCAGCUAGAGUGCAGGAGAGGAUCGUGGAAUUCCAUGUGUAGCGGUGAAAUGCGUAGAUAUAUGGAGGAACACCAGUGGCGAAGGCGACGAUCUGGCCUGCAACUGACGCUCAGUCCCGAUAGCGUGGGGAGCAAAUAGG
rnacentral:rRNA from 1 species